rnacentral:rRNA from 1 species
GUAGGGAAUAUUGGGCAAUGGGUGCAAGCCUGACCCAGCCAUGCCGCGUGCAGGAAGACGGCCCUCUGGGUUGUAAACUGCUUUUAUCUGGGAAGAAAAAGGCCAUGCGUGGCAAAUUGCCGGUACCAGAUGAAUAAGCACCGGCUAACUCCGUGCCAGCAGCCGCGGUAAUACGGAGGGUGCGAGCGUUGUCCGGAUUUAUUGGGUUUAAAGGUUGCGUAGGCGGCUGAUUAAGUCAGCGGUGAAAGACUUCGGCUUAACCGGAGCAGUGCCGUUGAUACUGGUUGGCUUGAGUGUCGGAGGGGUACAUGGAAUUGAUGGUGUAGCGGUGAAAUGCAUAGAUACCAUCAGGAACACCGAUAGCGAAGGCAUUGUACUGGCCGACAACUGACGCUGAUGCACGAAAGUGUGGGGAUCGAACAGGAUUAGAAACCCGAGUAGUCC